rnacentral:misc_RNA from 1 species
GAUGAAGAACGCAGCGAAAUGCGAUAAGUAAUGUGAAUUGCAGAAUUCAGUGAAUCAUCGAAUCUUUGAACGCACAUUGCGCCCCCAGGUAUUCCGGGGGGCAUGCCUGUUCGAGCGUCAUUUCACCACUCAAGCCUCGCUUGGUAUUGGGCAACGCGGUCCGCCGCGUGCCUCAAAUCGACCGGCUGGGUCUUCUGUCCCCUAAGCGUUGUGGAAACUAUUCGCUAAAGGGUGUUCGGGAGGCUACGCCGUAAAACAACCCCAUUUCUAAGGUUGACCUCGGAUCAGGUAGGGAUACCCGCUGAACUUAAGCAUAUCAAUAAGCGGAGGA